UACGUAGGGGGCAAGCGUUGUCCGGAAUCAUUGGGCGUAAAGAGCGCGUAGGCGGUCCGGUAAGUCCGCUCUGAAAGUCCGGGGCUCAACCCCGGGAGGCGGGCGGAUACUGUCGGGCUUGAGUACGGAAGAGGCGAGUGGAAUUCCUGGUGUAGCGGUGAAAUGCGCAGAUAUCAGGAGGAACACCAAUUGCGAAGGCAGCUCGCUGGGACGUUACUGACGCUGAGACGCGAAAGCGUGGGGAGCAAACAGG
rnacentral:rRNA from 1 species